rnacentral:rRNA from 1 species
GAUGAACGCUGGCGGCGUGCCUAAUACAUGCAAGUCGAGCGAACGGACGAUAAGCUUGCUUCUCUGAUGUUAGCGGCGGACGGGUGAGUAACACGUGGAUAACCUACCUAUAAGACUGGGAUAACUUCGGGAAACCGUAGCUAAUACCGGAUAAUAUUUUGAACCGCAUGGUUCAAAAGUGAAAGACGGUCUUGCUGUCUCUUAUAGAUGGAUCCGCGCUGCAUUAGCUAGUUGGUAAGGUAACGGCUUACCAAGGCAACGAUGCAUAGCCGACCUGAGAGGGUGAUCGGCCACACUGGAACUGAGACACGGUCCAGACUCCUACGGGAGGCAGCAGUAGGGAAUCUUCCGCAAUGGGCGAAAGCCUGACGGAGCAACGCCGCGUGAGUGAUGAAGGUCUUCGGAUCGUAAAACUCUGUUAUUAGGGAAGAACAGAUGUGUAAGUAACUGUGCACAUCUUGACGGUACCUAAUCAGAAAGCCACGGCUAACUACGUG